AUGGAUCUGACCAGGAUGCCGCGUGCAGGAGACGGCCCUAUGGGUUGUAAACUGCUUUUUACGGGAGCAAUAAGGUCUACGUGUAGACUGAUGACAGUACCGUAUGAAUAAGCAUCGGCUAACUCCGUGCCAGCAGCCGCGGUAAUACGGAGGAUGCGAGCGUUAUCCGGAUUUAUUGGGUUUAAAGGGUGCGUAGGCGGCCUUGUAAGUCAGCGGUGAAAUUUUGCAGCUUAACUGUAAAAGUGCCGUUGAUACUGUGAGGCUAGGAUUUGGUUGCUGUGGGUGGAAUGUGUGGUGUAGCGGUGAAAUGCUUAGAGAUCACACAGAAUAUCGAUUGCGAAGGCAGCUCACAAAGCCAAGAUUGACGCUGAUGCACGAAAGUGUGGGGAUCAAACAGGAUUAGAUACCCUGGUAGUCCACACUGUAAACGAUGAUAACUAGCUGUCGGCGAUAUACUGUCGGUGGCCAAGCGAAAGCGAUAAGUUAUCCACCUGGGGAGUACGACCGCAAGGUUGAAACUCAAAGGAAUUGACGG
rnacentral:rRNA from 1 species